rnacentral:rRNA from 1 species
UACGUAGGGGGCUAGCGUUGUCCGGAUUUAUUGGGCGUAAAGAGCGUGUAGGCGGCCAUGUAGGUCCGGUGUGAAAACUCGAGGCUUAACCUCGAGAUGUCAUCGGAAACCAUUUGGCUAGAGUCCGGAAGAGGAGAGUGGAAUUCCUGGUGUAGCGGUGAAAUGCGCAGAUAUCAGGAGGAAUACCGGUGGCGAAGGCGGCAUCCUGGACCGGCAUUGACGCUGAGGAGCGAAAGCUAGGGGAGCAAACGGG